GGAGAGCGGCGGCAACGGCAAGCCCGGGCCGCGCGCGGAGCUACCGACGACGGCUUCGGCGCCGCCGCGCUACCGGAAAAGCACUAAUCGACGCGCUAGUUAGCAGGCCGGAGUCUUGUUCGUUAUCGGAAUCAACCAGACGGAUCGCUCCACCAACUAAGAACGGCCAUGCACCACCACCCACAGAGGCAAAAUAGUCU